CGGGGCAUGGCUCAGCCUGGUAGAACGCUGCGUUCGGGACGCAGAGGUCGCUGGUUCAAAUCCUGUCGCCCCGACCU
rnacentral:tRNA from 2 species